ACGUUAGCGGCGGACGGGUGAGUAGCACGUGGGUAACCUACCUAUAAGACUGGGAUAACUUCGGGAAACCGGAGCUAAUACCGGAUAAUAUUUCGAACCGCAUGGUUCGAUAGUGAAAGAUGGUUUUGCUAUCACUUAUAGAUGGACCCGCGCCGUAUUAGCUAGUUGGUAAGGUAACGGCGUACCAAGGCGGCGAUACGUAGCCGACCUGAGAGGGUGAUCGGCCACACUGGAACUGAGACACGGUCCAGACUCCUACGGGAGGCAGCAGAA
rnacentral:rRNA from 1 species